rnacentral:rRNA from 1 species
AACGAACGCUGGCGGCAGGCUUAACACAUGCAAGUUGAACGGGAUUAGAUUAGUGCUUGCACUAAUUUAUGAGAGUGGCGCACGGGUGAGUAAUACGUGGGAACAUACCUAUUGGUUCGGAACAACGCUUGGAAACGAGUGCUAAUACCGGAUAAGCCCUGAGGGGGAAAGAUUUAUCGCCGAUAGAAUGGCCCGCGGCAGAUUAGGUAGUUGGUGGGGUAAAGGCCUACCAAGCCGACGAUCUGUAGCUGGUCUGAGAGGACGAUCAGCCACAUUGGGACUGAGACACGGCCCAGACUCCUACGGGAGGCAGCAGUGAGGAAUAUUGGGCAAUGGGGGGAACCCUGACCCAGCCAUGCCGCGUGAGCGAUGAAGGCCUUCGGGUCGUAAAGCUCUGUCCUCAAGGAAGAUAAUGACGGUACUUGAGGAGGAAGACCCCGGCUAACUACGUG